GACGAACGCUGGCGGCGUGCUUAACCCAUGCAAGUCGAACGGAAAGGCCCUGCUUUUGUGGGGUGCUCGAGUGGCGAACGGGUGAGUAACACGUGAGUAACCUGCCCUUGACUUUGGGAUAACUUCAGGAAACUGGGGCUAAUACCGGAUAGGAGCUCUUGCUGCCUGGUGGGGGUUGGAAAGUUUCGGCGGUUGGGGAUGGACUCGCGGCUUAUCAGCUUGUUGGUGGGGUAGUGGCUUACCAAGGCUUUGACGGGUAGCCGGCCUGCGAGGGUGACCGGCCACAUUGGGACUGAGAUACGGCCCAGACUCCUACGGGAGGCAGCAGUGGGGAAUAUUGCACAAUGGGCGGAAGCCUGAUGCAGCAACGCCGCGUGCGGGAUGACGGCCUUCGGGUUGUAAACCGCUUUCGCCUGUGACGAAGCGUGAGUGACGGUAAUGGGUAAAGAAGCACCGGCUAACUACGUG
rnacentral:rRNA from 1 species